rnacentral:ncRNA from 2 species
ACAAUGGAGAGUUUGAUCCUGGCUCAGGAUGAACGCUAGCGGGAGGCCUAACACAUGCAAGCCGAGCGGUA